ACGUCCAAUUUGUGUUCCUGGGUGACUGCAGUAUGAACUGGGUGCUCAAUAAGAGUGUAAGGACAAGGUGCGGGGUCUUCUUUAUGGAGGGAGAGCAGUGCUUGUGACUGGGGCUCCCCUGUGGCCUGCUUGGGGGUGGGAGUUUGGUUCCUUCCCUCCUCCUCCUCAGGUGCUGGAGUGCAUCCUGUCCCUAUCCCCCACCUCCCUCCAGCUUCCUGUCUCCCCAGCUGCUCCGGGCAGAAGGUGGGCGCUCUGGGAGACCCUAGAGUCCUCCUUCCAUUUCUCCACUUCCACCUUGUUUGAACUCCUUUCUGCCAUUGUGUGCUUUCCUCUCCUGGCUCUCCUGGGCUGGGAUAUCCAUCUUCCCAGUGGCACUGCUUUGCCCCGUGCUAAUUGGAGAGAAACCCAUCUCCCUCUUCCCCCUCUGCUCUUGGUGCCUUAGCUCAGUACAACCAGCUCCUUCGACCUCGGAUUCUUAGAUGCCUCCAGCACUCACAGUGGGCACUGUGCCCAAGCCCUGAAUUAUGGGCUGCCAGAUAAUUGAUCCAUCCCUUCGUUAAUGCAUAUUUAUCAAGAUCUUAUUAUCUGCGGGGUCCUGAGAAGGCUGCAAUGCACAGAGUAAUUGUUCCUGUCUGCACAGACUGCAUGAUGCACCGUAAUUGGUUUGUGGGUAUCAUCUUGCAUCCUCACCUUGAUGGUUAAUUCCUUGCUGGCAGGAGCCUUAUUCUCUGGCCCUUCUGUGGCCUCUACACAGCUUAAUACUGCGCUGAGCACAGCACAGAAACAAGGAGCAACAGAUAAUGUAUAGUGAGUUGUAAAACAUUUCUGGUUUCAGAAGCAUUUCUCACAUAUACGAUCACGUGUUUAAACUGAAUCAUGAGCCCCAUAGCGUAAGCAGGGCAAAACUGAAGGAUAUUGGUCCCGAGUUGUUUGAUGACCUUACAGUUCCUAACAUCCAUAUUCAGUAAAUAUUGUUCAGCAUUUAUUAAAUGAGGAUAGGGGAACUGCUUUUUUUCAGUUUUUCUAUUCAGAGGAAGGGAUUUAGAUAUCCUAAACCUUAUUUAACACUAGACCUGUUAAUUCUUAUAGAACAUGCAAGUGUUUAAAAAGAAUAAUAGGGAAAGGCUAAGGGUGAAAAUAAAAUCCUGUCCCUGCUCUUCCAGAGACAAUCAAUUUUAACUUUCUGUUUUGUUUUGCAUGUAAGAAAAUGUAAACAAGGGUGGGCAGAGGGCAGGUGGCGUAGACUGUGAAUGUGGCCACAAUUCCUCCUAUCCUGCUGUGUUUACCCCUUUGCUACGUGACUUUGUGGCUCCUUCCACUGAGAGGCAGGGUGGAUGUCCCACCCCUUGAAUCUGGGUCGGCCCUAGAACUUCCUCUGACCAGUAGUGUGGGCAGAAGUAACACUUUGCAAAUUCUGAGACUGGGCCUUGCUAGGCCUUGCAGCUUCUGCCUUGGACUGUUUGGAGUGCUGUCCCGAGGCUGUCACUUAAGGAAGCUGGUCUGGCCUGCAGAGGAGUGAGAGGCCACAUGGAGAAGAGCUGAGGCAGCCCCGCUGAUAGCCAAGGCUCCCUGGACCGUCCAGCCAGCCGUCUCUCCAGGGCAGUGCAGCCACAGACACAGGAAGCUGCCAUCCCACACAGUGCCUCCAAAGCCCAGCAUCAGGCAUCCUAUCUGAUCACUGACUCUCCCAGUGGGACAGCAUGCUCGUAUGCCGCCAUCACAGAACGUGGCGGACUUUGCUUCAUUUCUUUGCAUUCUGUGGGUGAGUUUCCAGGCUCCUGCUGGGCAGAUAGCCAUCAGCUCCCUUUAUAAAUGUUUUUAUCUGCUGCUGCUUUUAUCUUAUCAGACACACAGUAUGUCUUCGUCUUUCUGUUUCUAGAGAUAAUUACCACUUUGCUGUAUGUCAUACGUGCCACCUCAGUCAUGGCUCAAAAUAACAAAUAGGCUUGUUUGCAUGUGGAGAGAAAUCUGGCAGUGCCCCGCUUAGAUGGGGUGAGGAUUCGGAGCUUUUAUCCCUCUGCCUCCUGUGCCAUUUAACGGAGUUGGCUGCACACUCAGAUGCGGAAGAUUCGUGUUCCCCGACAUUUUAGGAGGCGUGAUUGUGAGUGCCUCGGUGCACUGAGUCUUUACGAAGAGCUGGGAGGAAGUAGGUGAUGCAGUCUGGACCAGUCAGAGCAGUGUCUCCGAAACACAGGUGCCCACACCUCCUGAGAGGUAAGAGAUAUACCGGGAUCAGGGCAAGGUUGUCUGUUCCUCAUGGUUGCUACCUUAGAGUUCACAGAAAAUGUCUGUUGUGGGGCUGGGAAGAACAGCUAUACUUGCUGCAGGGAAAAGCAACAACAAACUGGAAUCCACUUGCACCUCUGCAUUUGUCUCUCACCUCCUUUAAUCCAUAGCAACCACCCAUAGCAACCACCCACAAUUGCUUCACUUCUAAUCCCACACAAGUUUACAUUUCAUCAUCUAUUGUAAUAAAAGCAUAAUAUGCUAAUUAGACCCAACAACCUUCUGGAUGAAGCUUCAGGGAAGCACGGGUGCCAGAGGGAAGCUGGUGUGGGCAGCCAGGGGAAAGAAGGGCUACUCAUGCACAUAUUUCAUGCACUGGGCCUCUAGUCUUCUAUAAAAGUGACUCUGGGACAUGCAAUACCAGUGUAAACAAGUUGACAAUAGAAUAAUCCAGCACAAUCGUUAUGAGCCUCUCUCUUUUAAAUCUACACUUUGGUUUUUACUCACAUCUUUUGUAUCUUGAUGACGAGUAGAAAUUUCCAAUUUUAGCAUCCUAGUCCCCAUUCUGUGAUUCCUCCCUUCCAUUUGGCACAUUUGAGCACGUCUCUCAAAGAAGCAUAAAGUACAAGCCAGUGAUGCCCCAUUUGCAGCUUACUCUGGAGGGAACCAGCAAACAGCUGUUCGCUGGCCUUGGGCGACUAUUGAAAACACAAUCAAUGGGAAAAAGGUCGUGUGGGACACGCUCAGGCUGGGGACUGGGAUUUUAGUCAUCAGUUUCUGAUGCGUGCCAGAAAGGAGCCGCACUGAAAUAACUCAUAUUCACAGGGGUUGUUGGUUCUAUUUUCCAAGUUAAAACAUUUAAAACUAAAUUCAAAGUUGUUAUCGUGCACCACUAACCCCGCACGGAGCUGGGUAGCAGCUGUUAGGGAUGUUACAGUCAAUUAAUUGUUGUGUUUUCCCAUAGGUUGGUGCAAAGCAGUGGAGGGAAAAAAUGCUGGAAAUUGCUUUGAAAGAUGAGCAGGCAGGAGCCACGAGCUGACCUUCCUGUCCUCUAUUGGGAGUUGCUGCAGGUGUGACACACACCGCAGCCAAGCCAUUGAGGUGGCGAUUCAUCCUAACUGCUUCUCACCAGACAAUCUAUCAGCUUUUGACUCAGGGACAGAGGGCGACAGAAGAUGGGGUGAAUGGCCACCCUGGAGAGCUGUCAUAAGAGUGGAGACAGAAGGAAGUUAGAGGAAAGCAGGAUGCUCAGUAAUCCACAGUGCGUAGGAAGGCACCACGUGGUGUGGGCAGGUAUAGAGAAAAUGACAUCCUCUGCUUGGGAGUAGAAAUGUAGCUCUCUUGGUACUAGAUCCUUAAGAAUGCUCACACCCCCAAACAUAUCCUCUUUGCCUGUAAAAUCUGAUUUCCACUUCUUUCACUCAACUAAGGAAGACAAUGUUAUGUAAUAAAAAUAAUAAUAAUAUCAAUAAUAACAGCCAAUACAUAUUGAGCACUUACUAUUGCAAGUAGUACAUUGCAUGUAUGAGCUCGCCAGUUUCUCACAACUACCCUGUAAACUGGUACCGUUAUUGCCCCAUUAUUAUAAUGCUGAAGUGAAGGCUCAGAGAGGUAGCAAAACAUGUCCAGGUGGCAGCAAUGGCGAGUCAGCUCAUGUAGGGAUUAAAAGCAUUAACUUUGAUUUCAGAUCAUAAAAUGCUAGAUGUUUGGCUUUGGACAAGUUGACUAAUAUACUGACUUUUAGAUUUCAUCUAUAAAAUGGAAAUAAUAAUAGUUCCUAUAGUUCAUAGUUGUGGUGAAGAUUAAACAUUAUUGUGGUAUUUAUAUGCCUGGCACAUAAGAGCUCAAUAAAUGGUUUCCUAUUAUCAUUA